rnacentral:rRNA from 1 species
GUGUCGUGGGUGGUUUAGGUUUAACCGCCAACCUAGGUCGCUAGGUCGUCGGUGGAGAGGCGUCGUGAAGUGGCAAGGUUAACGAGGGGUGGGGCUGGUGUCACGAGCGGCCUCUAGAGUGAUCGUGCCGGCGCUCGGGCGGUGCGGGCGCCGGUACAGAAGGCCCGUACUGAGGAGGCCCUGCUGCGACUACCUAGAGUAGUGGAGCCUAGGCAGCCGGCGGGGCCGGCGGCCCCGCAGCAGCGUCGUCGGCAGGAGCCCGCCGCCGCCGAGCGAACCCUCCGGACGGGGCGGCGGCCGCGGCCGUGGUCGCCUAGCGUUCAGCUUCUCCCGCUGGGACUACGUCUAGGUCUCGCUGUGGUAGAGUCGUCGGUUCCGCAAGUUGGGGCAGUUCCGGGAGGGGGUCGCGUUGUCCUUCUUCUUCGGGCAGAGCAUGAGCGUCGACCGCGCCUCGUAGGUGCUCGAACGCCGCUGCACGCUGGUCUUUUUUAGGGUCUCCGUCGAGCACUUGUCACACAAGGGGUUCGAGCGCCACAUGUUAAGACACCUAGGAAGCCACCGAGGUAGAGAAGAGUACGAGGUAGUCGUUACACUCCUGUCUUUACAAGACGCGAUACACAUGAUAAUAGAACGUGCUUAAGACAGUCUAUUACCGAGGGUCCCAAAUUCACGACGACCACCUUAGGGGUGUGGUUUAACCCUACGAGAACGCCUGUAACUACAACGACCUCCUCACUGAGCCCGUCUACAACACGGGUCUUAUCAACUAGUCGAAAGUCGUCUUAGGUGGUCGCUGCUACAACUCAAAGUACGCGCCUCUGAACGCCGAGACUUCCGGGAUUGGAGGAGAAGGUGUUCGUCAAGGCUCUACAACCUCUUCGAAUCACUCUAACACAAACCGUAAAACCUUUUCCAGCGUCUAUGAUUUGUCUUUGCUUUCUUUCCCUAUAAAUGGUUCGUUCCACCGCUAUUCCUCAGAUAAAAUGCUUCAUUGAACGUUAUACGAAGAGAUUCACGGGACUCUUCUGAAGGUGAACUAGGACCAUUAGGUCGUAAAGACGUGGCUCGACAGGUUCCCUAACUUAAAAGACUGGGUCAACGUCACUCCGUACGGAACAGUUAUUAGAGUCUUUAACGACAAUCUCUAGGUAUGAGACAACGUUACCGCGAGCCGUUUUUGCGUGUUGGACCACCGCGAGAAGUCCUGUAGGAAGUAGACGUACUACAAGAACGUUCUCAAAUGGAACGUUUCAACACGGUAAGUUAUAGAUCCCGUGCACAUAACCUACUCUCCGGACUGUAUUUUAGUGUCAUGUCAAGAGAGGAAAUAGUUGAGGAAAACCUAGGUUCACUGUCCCAGACAAAACUCCGUUAUGAGACACAAGACCCUUUUCAACUGUUGUGUCUUUCGUGACUCCUGUCUCGACCGCCUACCUAGGCCAAUUGAUCUCUUUAAGAGUUUAACGGGCUCCGGGGUAGACAUCGUAGUUUUCCAGAAGACAGUUUUCGAUCACUUUUUAGAAGAUUUCGUUCCGCAGGAGUUGGGGAGUAGUUUGAACAUUACUCUUCCGACCUCUCGAGAAAGGCAUCGAAAAGAGCGGGACAAGAAGUACGGCGACGUUCUCAUCAGGUCCUUUACCCAUUUUCGUCUCGUCGACGAAUGAGAAACCCACGAAUACUACUCCCUCGGUUAGAAGUUCGAAUAAGUCUAUUACAGCUUAGAGAACUAAGACUACUCUUGAGUGUUGGACUUCGGUGGGCCUUUCGAUUCGGUGACAGCUUACCUGUACCACCUUACCUGUGUCAUCGUCCCAAUAACCGUAGUGAUUACCUUCAUCACGCGUGUUGACAUCGUACGCUCACGCAUAUACAAGCUCGUUACCAGUAGUUUCGAAACUAUACCUACGUUUUAGGUGUGCUCAGGGAGCUACUUGAUUUUAGAUAUUAACGCACACUCGACAGACUGGGUCGGACCGGAAGAAGAGAUGACUUACUACAGGACGAUUGGGAUGUACGAUCCAAGUUCCGUUGGGGACUAUACCGACACUGAGACGAACUCUAACGAUCUUAAAAACGAUGAUUUCAAGGACCUUUCUAACUACGACUACAAGAUGUUGACAAUACCUUCUGUACGGAACAUCCUCGUCCUGGUCUACCCUUUGUAUGUCGUAACCUUCGACACUGUUAACAGGAACUAGACGGUGGUGGAGUCGGACCAAGUUACAGACAUGAGUGCAGACAACUAUACUAUAGGCGGAGACUAGGUUUUAGACGUUACCGUGACGUUUCUAAUCAGGUUCGACGACAAACCAAAAACCCUCUUUUACGUUUGAUACGACGUAGACUCAUACGUACCCUUAGACGCUGCGGCGGACCAUGACGAGAUUACUACGAACUACGACUAUUUUACCAACGACGUCGAUCGAGGGCAUUGGGAUGUGAACGAUCGCGAGACUGCGCCGAGGUUUCCACACGUAAAUCACCGUCGACCCUCUAGGCAUAGCGACGACAGGUCCGGGAUUGAUGGUAACGUUAUUCCAGACCACUUGGAAUAUCUGAUGUCUAUAUGCUCAAAGAAGUACGAAACUCAGACCCCCCACACGUCAGUUUGAAAAGCCUUAACGUCGAUUCAUUACCCCUUUUGGUUCCACGAUCACCAUGACCAGAACCUAGAAACUAAUCGGGUUACGAGUUCCAGAACCUACUCUACAUAUUUCGAGUUCUGCUGGAACGAUCCCUGUAGGCAGUCGUACUAUUAUCGUUUGUUCUUACCUCACUACUACUUGAGUUCUUUGAAAUACUUUGGGUACUCUCCGAAGAACUAAAGCAAACAAAUAAGACAAAGCAAGGUUCCUAAUUUAUGAACGGAAAUCCGGGAUGGUCACGGUUCGAUUAACUCUAGAUGGCGUUAGCCGUAUUGUAAUCACGUAGACAGCCAGAUUCACUGGGACGACAACGAUGGCCUUAUAGACUGGAUUACAUACUCAGCUUUCUUCAUGUAUUCCUCUGGUCAUGAUACGUUAGGCCUUAACUGGGACUAGAUCGAUACCGGACCCGUCGUCCAAACCUUCUACUACGGACCCGUUUGCUACGGGGUCCACACCUGUUUCAGUUCCUAAAGGAAAGACCACGACCUUGACUACGAGGACUACACCUACUGCUCCUUAUGUACUUAAGUUCCGGUAGUCAGCCAAUACUACUAUACACCCGGUUCUGUUAAGAACUUCUCCUUCUACUACCCUCCAGAAGACCACCCAGGAGAGGACUGAGCUGACCAAGACACCUCUGCAGGUAUAGCAGGGUAAAGCCACCGUACUUGAUAGGCAGAAACAAAUCAAGUUUCGGUGGUUCAAUACCCCGAAGUGUUGUUUGCUAUGCACUUCUUGGUGGUAGUAUAAGUUGUAGACAGGAUGUCUUCGCACUCAGUAAACUGUUGGGGUACCGCCCCGCACCCCCAGCUUCAAGACCUAGACCUAGGGUACUCCUACAACUCUUCUCAAGGCCCUUGGGAGUUAGACCCUUUCGUAACAUACUGAAGUGUCGUCCGCCGCUACUACUCGACUCAAAUUUGAGACCUCUUCUACACCUAUAACUUAUACUCCAACUACCAACCAUGAUGCACUUCUUUUUCUCUGGCCCUUCCCUACCCUUCUACCGUCCAGACCAGGGACAAAACAUACACUCGAGCACUAUCGUUACUCGGAACACUGUAUGAUGAGAGUUCUCGACCCACCUUAUGUACCCACUACCCGGAUUCUUACUUUGCGUUUCUUCAAAACUACGACAGAACACAUUCCUUCCUGUAUAGGUUGGGAGAACCACACACCAACAUGCCACGCCGCUAUAACAACGACCAGAGACACACGACUAAAACAAACGAUAUGUAUGCCGAUCUGGUAAGUUAAGUAACAAAUGUACCCACCUAUCCUUAAACCCUGUGAGGUAAGGUAGAACGGACGCGGCAAGACGAGGUGGCCAAUACGAACCUUCCAAAGGCAAUGAGGGGCACAGGUCAAGAAGGUAGCCGACACGUUAUGUAGGGUAACAUUAACAUAUUGAUAAAUCGACAAUUCUCCGACAACAUUUGACAUCCGAGUUAAAAAAAUGGGAUACUAAGAAAACCAUGACACAUACCAUAUACCACACUUGACACACUAAGUCAUCAUUAGUCAUCACGACAUAAAAAAAUUACCAAACACAUUUAAAAACAAAAGGCAACAUAGAUCCUAUGUACUUUUAUAUGGUAUCACUUUGUUGUCCGUGGGCAAGAAAA